CAGGCUAACAUCCUUCUGGGGGAACCCAAACCCUGCCUGGGGAAUAACUUGAAGCAUCUCAGUUCUCAAAUUGCCCCCUGCUUACCCCUAAAAGGAGACCACACAGAGCUCCACCAACCUCGAGGCAGUCUUAUCCUUCCAGGCAAGGCUUUUUUGAAAGUCAAACAAACAGCUGGUGUUCUCUGCUGUGAAAUCUCCAUCGAUCUGACUUCCAAACUCUGCUGAGGUGUGAAGAUACAGAGAUGAAAAGGACAUAGUUCCUGUCACCUGGCAUCUCUGCCUAGGAGAAAGACAUAAGCAAAAUUGCUGCCGGCUUCCAGGCAGACGCCUCACAAGAAUCUCACGACGCCAAAGUUGAGGCCCGGAACGCCUUCUCCCCGGGCUUGGCAUUCUCUUACGACGCAAGGCCGGGCCAGCCUGGCCACACAGCACUCGAAACCCCAUUGGUGGAUGCAAAAGCAUCGGAUAAGUUCAUUGGAUGAGCCUGGAGGAACGCGGCACCUCAUUGGCCACAGAGAAGUCAAUUCCUGGCAAUCUCGGAGGGUGCGCAUGCUCGGAAGGUGAGUGGCGGGCAAACCGGCCGGAAGAUCCUGCCUGUUUUUGCAGCCAGAGGCACGCAAUGGAGGGUGGGCAGUGCGUUGCCAGAUGGCCUCGCCUGGCCCAUUUCUCUUUUUGCACUCUGUUGUCUCUGCUUCUCCAGCCACACUAGGAGGUCAGACCCUUGGCCCUCACUCACGGAACUUAUCUCCCUACCCAAAUGGCCUCUCAUGUUCCCAGCCUGGCCCCUGCCUCGGCACCCACCUUAGUGGCCCUAGCCUCUGGGAGUCAGCUUGGCCUCUUGAGUCUUCACUUGCAGUGGCCCCUGUGCAGCCCAGGCGUCUUCAUCUGAUUGCGCUAUCGCACCAGCCUCCUCAUGGUCUCCUGGAGGGUUGAAUCUAG
rnacentral:lncRNA from 10 species